GACGAACCUUGCGACCGUUGUUCGGAAUCACUGGGCUUAAAGGGCGCGAAGGCGGACGACCAAGUCGGGGGUGAAAUCUUUCGGCUCAACCGGAAAAUAGCUUUCGAUACUGGCCGUCUUGAGCGAGGUAGGGGCAUGCGGAACUUCCGGUGGAGCGGUGAAAUGCGUUGAUAUCGGAAGGAACUCCGGUGGCGAAAGCGGCGUGCUGGACCUCUUCUGACGCUGAGGCGCGAAAGCUAGGGGAGCAAACGGG
rnacentral:rRNA from 1 species